UUUCGUUUGAGAGCACGAGCACAAGCAAAACCUACUUGAUAUUUUGUAGUGAAAAUGGGGUAUUCAAUUGCCUCUCUUUUGAUCACUGCUCUUCUAGUUUUAACAAUCUCUUUUAGCUUCCCUUUUGAGUCCUCAGCUGACAACUUCUAUUCUUCUCCUCAUCCACAUAAAAAAUCUUCAUCACUUCCUUCGCUAGUUAAGCAAUCGCCACCACUUCCUCCGCUAGUUCACAAUUCGCCACCACUUCCUCCGCCAGUUCACAAUUCGCCACCACUUCCUCCGCCAGUUCACAAUUCGCCACCGCAUCCUCCGCCAGUUCACAAACCGCCACCACCUUCUCUGCCAGUUCACAAACCGCCACCACCUUCUCUGCCAGUUCACAAACGGCCACCACCUGCACCACCGGUGCCCAAGUGUCCACCAUUCCCACAACCACUACCCCUAUUCAAGCCUUUUCCUCCACCAAUACACAAAUCACCACUACCACCACUACCCAAGCCCCCACCAGCUCUCCAUUCCGUCCGUUUAUCUCCCUCUCUUCCCAACCCCUCUAAACAGCGUUUCCAUUAAAAUGUUUUUCAGGAGGCAAUAGGGAACAGUAUCUAUAUAGAUGAAUAAGUCUCUUGAAGAGCACAACAGUGGGAAAGAGAAAGCGGGUUUCCGCAUUUGGUUUAUCUUAUAAUUUCGUCGUUAGCAGAAUAUAUAAUAAUGGACGUGUAGAAAAGAAAGAAAACGUACACUUCUUAUUUUCAUGUAAUCGUGGGUUCAGUAUUUCAUAUUUGCUACUUGUUUCAUAGAUUGAUCAUAUUAUAAUAAUAUAAAAACAUUUCUCGUUGAA